rnacentral:rRNA from 1 species
UACAGGGGGGCGAGCGUUGUUCGGAAUUACUGGGCGUAAAGGGCGCGUAGGCGGCCCGCUAAGUCGAACGUGAAAUCCCCAGGCUCAACCUGGGAACUGCGUCCGAUACUGGCAGGCUUGAAUCCGGGAGAGGGAUGUGGAAUUCCAGGUGUAGCGGUGAAAUGCGUAGAUAUCUGGAGGAACACCGGUGGCGAAGGCGGCAUCCUGGACCGGUAUUGACGCUGAGGCGCGAAAGCUAGGGGAGCAAACGGG